rnacentral:tRNA from 1 species
GCACCAAUAGCUCAGAUGGAUAGAGCGCCACUUUGCGGAAGUGGAGGUCGCAGGUUCGAAUCCUGCUUGGUGCA